UACAGAGGUCUCAAGCGUUGUUCGGAUUCAUUGGGCGUAAAGGGUGCGUAGGUGGCGUGGUAAGUCUGGUGUGAAAUCCCGGGGCUCAACCCCGGAACUGCACUGGAUACUGCCAUGCUUGAGUACUGGAGAGGAGAUUGGAAUUUACGGUGUAGCAGUGAAAUGCGUAGAUAUACGGAGGAAUACCUGAGGCGAAGGCGGGUUGCUGGGCCAACACUGACGCUGAAGUGCGAAAGCCAGGGGAGCAAACGGG
rnacentral:rRNA from 1 species